UACGAAGGGUGCAAACGUUGCUCGGAAUUAUUGGGCGUAAAGCGCACGUAGGCGGCAUUGCAAGUCGGAUGUGAAAUCCCUCGGCUUAACCAAGGAAGUGCAUCCGAAACUGCAGUGCUUGAGUACUUAAGAGGAUCGCGGAAUUCCCGGUGUAGAGGUGAAAUUCGUAGAUAUCGGGAGGAACACCGGUGGCGAAGGCGGCGACCUGGGUCGAGACUGACGCUGAGGCGCGAAAGCGUGGGGAGCAAACAGG
rnacentral:rRNA from 1 species